GUGAGGAAUAUUGGACAAUGGGCGCAAGCCUGAUCCAGCCAUGCCGCGUGCAGGAAGACGCAUCUAUGGUGUGUAAACUGCUUUUGUACGGGAAGAAACACUCCCUCGUGAGGGAGCUUGACGGUACCGUAAGAAUAAGGAUCGGCUAACUCCGUGCCAGCAGACGCGGUAAUACGGAGGAUCCAAGCGUUAUCCGGAAUCAUUGGGUUUAAAGGGUCCGUAGGCGGUUUAAUAAGUCAGUGGUGAAAGCCCAUCGCUCAACGAUGGAACGGCCAUUGAUACUGUUAGACUUGAAUUACAAGGAAGUAACUAGAAUAUGUAGUGUAGCGGUGAAAUGCUUAGAUAUUACAUGGAAUACCAAUUGCGAAGGCAGGUUACUACUUGUGGAUUGACGCUGAUGGACGAAAGCGUGGGGAGCGAACAGGAUUAGAUACCCGUGUAGUCC
rnacentral:rRNA from 1 species